rnacentral:rRNA from 1 species
UACGUAGGGUGCGAGCGUUGUCCGGAAUUACUGGGCGUAAAGGGCGCGUAGGCGGCCUGCUAAGUCGGAUGUGAAAUCCCUCGGCUCAACCGAGGAACUGCAUCCGAUACUGGUCGGCUUGAAUCCGGGAGAGGGAUGCAGAAUUCCAGGUGUAGCGGUGAAAUGCGUAGAUAUCUGGAGGAAUACCGGUGGCGAAGGCGGCAUCCUGGACCGGCAUUGACGCUGAACAGCGAAAGCUAGGGGAGCAAACGGG